rnacentral:rRNA from 1 species
AACUUUCAACAACGGAUCUCUAGGCUCUUGCAUCGAUGAAGAACGCAGUGAAAUGCGAUAAGUAAUGUGAAUUGCAGAAUCUCGUGAAUCAUCGAAUCUUUGAACGCA